CAGUCGAGCGAAGCACUCUGCUUUGAUUCUUUCGGGAUGAAGAGCAUUGUGACUGAGCGGCGGACGGGUGAGUAACGCGUGGGUAACCUGCCUCAUACAGGGGGAUAACAGUUAGAAAUGGCUGCUAAUACCGCAUAAGACCACAGCACCGCAUGGUGCAGGGGUAAAAACUCCGGUGGUAUGAGAUGGACCCGCGUCUGAUUAGCUAGUUGGUGGGGUAACGGCCUACCAAGGCGACGAUCAGUAGCCGACCUGAGAGGGUGACCGGCCACAUUGGGACUGAGACACGGCCCAAACUCCUACGGGAGGCAGCAGUGGGGAAUAUUGCACAAUGGGGGAAACCCUGAUGCAGCGACGCCGCGUGAGCGAAGAAGUAUUUCGGUAUGUAAAGCUCUAUCAGCAGGGAAGAAAAUGACGGUACCUGACUAAGAAGCCCCAGCUAACUACGUGCCAGCGGCCGCGGUAAUACGUAGGGGGCAAGCGUUAUCCGGAUUUACUGGGUGUAAAGGGAGCGUAGACGGCGAGGCAAGUCUGAUGUGAAAACCCGGGGCUCAACCCCGUGACUGCAUUGGAAACUGUUUUGCUUGAGUGCCGGAGAGGUAAGCGGAAUUCCUAGUGUAGCGGUGAAAUGCGUAGAUAUUAGGAGGAACACCAGUGGCGAAGGCGGCUUACUGGACGGCAACUGACGUUGAGGCUCGAAAGCGUGGGGAGCAAACAGGAUUAGAUACCCUGGUAGUCCACGCCGUANACGAUGACUACUNGGUGUCGGGGAGCAAAGCUCUUCGGUGCCGCAGCAAACGCAAUAAGUAG
rnacentral:rRNA from 1 species